UACGUAGGUGGCAAGCGUUGUUCGGAAUUAUUGGGCGUAAAGGGUGCGUAGGCGGGUCUUUAAGUCAGGGGUGAAAUCCUGGAGCUCAACUCCAGAACUGCCUUUGAUACUGAAGAUCUUGAGUUCGGGAGAGGUGAGUGGAACUGCGAGUGUAGAGGUGAAAUUCGUAGAUAUUCGCAAGAACACCAGUGGCGAAGGCGGCUCACUGGCCCGAUACUGACGUUGAGGCACGAAAGCGUGGGGAGCAAACAGG
rnacentral:rRNA from 1 species